rnacentral:rRNA from 1 species
CACGCAGGCGGUUUUUUAAGUCAGAUGUGAAAGGUACCGGCUCAACCGGUGACAUGCAUUUGAAACUGAAAGACUUGAGUAUUGGAGAGGCAAGUGGAAUUCCUAGUGUAGCGGUGAAAUGCGUAGAUAUUAGGAGGAACACCGGUGGCGAAGGCGGCUUGCUGGACAAAUACUGACGCUGAGAUGCGAAAGCGUGGGGAGCAAACA